UCCUGAUAAUAUAAUGCUUAAUAGAAAAAUAAGUUGUGGAGAGGGCUGGAUGGGCAAGUCGGGCACGAUGGCUCGAGCCCGGGCGGUGGCGGCUGCGCCUCCCAAUGAGACUGCCGGUGGGCUGGCUGUGCCUGAGCCUGGUGUCCGUGUGGCUGGCGCGGAGGAUGUGGACGCUGCGGAGCCCGCUCACCUGCUCCCUGUACGUGAACAUGACGAGCGGCCCGGGCGGGCUGGCGGCGGCAAGGAGAACCACCAGUGGUAUGUGUGCAACAGAGAGAAAUUAUGCGAAUCACUCCAGGCUGUCUUUGUUCAGAGUUACCUUGAUCAAGGAACACAGAUCUUCUUAAACAACAGCAUUGAGAAAUCUGGCUGGCUAUUUAUCCAAUUAUAUCAUUCUUUUGUGUCAUCUGUUUUUAGCCUGUUUAUGUCUAGAACAUCUAUCAAUGGGUUGCUAGGAAGAGGCUCAAUGUUUGUGUUUUCACCAGAUCAGUUUCAGAGACUGCUUAAAAUUAAUCCAGACUGGAAAACCCACAGACUUCUUGAUUUAGGUGCUGGAGAUGGAGAAGUCACAAAAAUCAUGAGCCCUCAUUUUGAAGAAAUCUAUGCCACUGAGCUUUCUGAAACUAUGAUAUGGCAGCUUCAGACGAAAAAAUUCAGAGUGCUUGGUAUAAAUGAAUGGCAGAAUACAGGGUUCCGGUAGGAUGUCAUUAGCUCCCUGAACUUGCUGGACCGCUGUGAUCAGCCCCUGACUUUGUUAAAGGAUAUCAGAAGUGUCUUGGAGCCAACUAGAGGCAGGGUCAUCCUUGCCCUGGUCCUCCCCUUUCAUCCCUAUGUGGAAAACGUAGGUGGCAAGUGGGAGAAACCAUCAGAAAUUUUGGAAAUCAAGGGACAGAACUGGGAAGAACAAGUGAAUAGUCUGCCUGAAGUUUUCAGAAAAGCCGGUUUCGUUAUUGAAGCUUUCACCAGACUGCCAUACCUGUGUGAAGGUGACAUGUAUAAUGACUACUACGUUCUGGAGCACGCUGUCUUUGUUCUCAAACCAGUAUAAACACGGGGAGGCCGAAGUCUUCAGAGUCCGCACCCUCUGGAAUGUGCCCUUGGAAGGGGGUCUGCAUUCACGAUUAUGUGAAGGGAGGACCCUUGGGGACUGCCAUUCUAAAUAUCAUGUAGGAAUUUUAAAAGCCAAAAUACUAAUUAUUUCUUUGUAGUGUGUAAAGGAAUGUUUUUAAAAGAGAAAACCCCAACUCUUUUUGAAUUUUUAUCAACUCUUUACUCAGAGCCACUCUCUAAUGCAGGUUACACUCCAAUUAUGAUGGAAGAUAUUUUUUAUACUUAAUUGCAGUGGGGACUCAUUCCCAGACAAAGCAAUAGUCACGACUUCAUGGAGCCAAUCAAUGGAUUGUUUUUAAUAAAAUGAAGACUGGCAAUAAAGCUGUCCAUUCAGUUCCAAAUACUGGUUUUAAGGUUUAGCCACUGAUAUUCUUUCAUGCUUAGAAAUUCUUUGUUACUAUUCAAGAAAAUGUUUUUAAUCAUGCUAAUAAACUUUUUUGGAGAUGA